rnacentral:lncRNA from 1 species
GUUGAUGUUCACUAUUUGACUAAUCGUUGUCUUUCUAUACAAGUUUAGGACUGUGAAAGGCUUUGAAAACAGACUGCAGCCUUUAGUUAAUUGAAUCAAGAACCUGUUUGAGACCGGAGGUAGUCACACUGACACACACACAAACAGGUGAUGGAUCAGCGAAGAACAUUAGCUGGUGAUCAUGAUAACGACACAAUCUUGACUGAAGGAUCAUUAUGCACCAGGUUUUCCNNNNNNNNNACUAGCUAGUGAGUAAAUAAAUUGUAAUUCAAAGCCAGGUCUCAAGAUUCCCGAGCCUGUGGUCUUUCCUCGUACCACCAGCUUGUCCGUGUGCAUGUUCUGAAAGGCUUUCUUGAACGAAGGUGGCAUCUGCCUGCUCAAGGUCUCCUCCUCAGUGUCUUCCCAAUGAGAAACCCAGCUCUGCCCAUAUCUGACAGCAUGUCAUGUCAGAUCAGAUGGCAAAGGAAAGAGCCCCAAGGUUGGUGGGGAGUCAGGUCAGGCAGACUGGAGUGGAGGGUGGGGUUAGUGCCAGGGCUGUGGAAAUCAUGAAGAAGUUCCUGUGUCCGUUUGUCCCUGAUACAUCUGUCUACAUCCUGCUCUGCCUCUCAUUGCAAAACUCUCAGGGGACCAUUACUUAACUCUGUGUGGGACUUUCUCCAGCAAUACUUGCUCUCAGACCAUUCAUAUAUAUCUCCACGGUGAUGAUGAAGAGAAUGAUGAUUAUGAUUAUGAUGACAAUGAAAUAAAAGGGUCCCAGAACACCCUGCCGACAGAUCGACG